rnacentral:misc_RNA from 1 species
CCCAGUUUCUCUCAACAGAGACAAAUUACAGCUCUUAAGACAGCGAUAUUAUUAUGCCACAUGGAAGGCUGAUGGAACGAGAUAUAUGAUGCUAAUAACUAGGGAUGGAUGCUACUUGAUUGACAGGAAUUUUUACUUCCGAAGAGUUGAUAUGCGGUUUCCAUGCAAACACACAAAUAAGGGUGUGCCUGAUCAGAUUCAC